CGAGUGGCGGACGGGUGAGUAAUGCUUGGGAAUCUGGCUUAUGGAGGGGGAUAACUACGGGAAACUGUAGCUAAUACCGCAUAAUAUCGAAAGAUUAAAGGGUGGGACUUUCGGGCCACCUGCCAUGAGAUGAGCCCAAGUGGGAUUAGGUAGUUGGUUAGGUAAAGGCUGACCAAGCCGACGACCUCUAGCUGGUCUGAGAGGAUGACCAGCCACACUGGAACUGAGACACGGUCCGG
rnacentral:rRNA from 1 species